CCAUAUCAAGAGAACUAGAUAUGGCUUAGAUGGCUGUAGUUGAGACACGUAAUACAUACUAUUGCCUAGCAUGGUAUGAAUGCACAGAUGACC